UAAGGAAUAUUGGACAAUGGACGCAAGUCUGAUCCAGCCAUCCCGCGUGUAGGAUGACUGCCCUACGGGUUGUAAACUACUUUUAUUUGGGAAGAAACCUGGUUAUUUAUGACCAGUUGACGGUACCUUAUGAAUAAGCACCGGCUAACUCCGUGCCAGCAGCCGCGGUAAUACGGAGGGUGCAAGCGUUAUCCGGAAUCACUGGGUUUAAAGGGAGCGUAGGCGGCAUAAUAAGUCAGAGGUGAAAGGCUGUAGCUUAACUAUGGAAUUGCCUUUGAUACUGUUAUGCUUGAAUCAAGUUGAGGUCGGCAGAAUGUGACAUGUAGCGGUGAAAUGCAUAGAUAUGUCAUAGAAUACCAAUUGCGAAGGCAGCUGGCUGGACUUGUAUUGACGCUGAGGCUCGAAAGCGUGGGGAGCAAACAGG
rnacentral:rRNA from 1 species